rnacentral:rRNA from 1 species
AACGAACGCUGGCGGCGUGCCUAACACAUGCAAGUCGUGCGAGAAAGUUCCUUCGGGAGCGAGUAAAGCGGCGCACGGGUGAGUAACACGUAGGUAACCUGCCCCCCAGUCUGGAACAACUAGAGGAAACUCUAGCUAAUGCCGGAUGAGACCACGAUCCCUUCGGGGUUGCGGCCAAAGAUGGCCUCUACUUGUAAGCUAUCGCUGAGGGAUGGGCCUGCGGCCAUUAGCUUGUUGGUGAGGUAACGGCUCACCAAGGCUGUGAUGGCUAGCUGGUCUGAGAGGAUGACCAGCCACACUGGGACUGAGACACGGCCCAGACUCCUACGGGAGGCAGCAGUGGGAAUAUUGCGCAAUGGGCGAAAGCCUGACGCAGCGACGCCGCGUGGGUGAUGAAGGCC